UUAGAGUUUGAUCAUGGCUCAGGAUGAACGCUGGCGGCGUGCUUAACACAUGCAAGUCGAACGGACUUAUAUUGAAACCUAGUGAAAUAUAAGUUAGUGGCGGACGGGUGAGUAACGCGUGGAUAACCUGCCGUAUACAGGGGGAUAACACUUAGAAAUAGGUGCUAAUACCGCAUAAGCGCACAGCUUCGCAUGAAGCAGUGUGAAAAACUGAGGUGGUAUACGAUGGUUCCGCGUCUGAUUAGCUAGUUGGUGGGGUAAUGGCCUACCAAGGCGACGAUCAGUAGCCGGCCUGAGAGGGUGAACGGCCACAUUGGGACUGAGACACGGCCCAAACUCCUACGGGAGGCAGCAGUGGGGAAUAUUGCACAAUGGGGGAAACCCUGAUGCAGCGACGCCGCGUGAGUGAAGAAGUAUUUCGGUAUGUAAAGCUCUAUCAGCAGGGAAGAAAAUGACGGUACCUGAUUAAGAAGCCCCGGCUAACUACGUGCCAGCAGCCGCGGUAAUACGUAGGGGGCAAGCGUUAUCCGGAUUUACUGGGUGUAAAGGGAGCGUAGACGGCAGCGCAAGUCUGAAGUGAAAUGCCGGGGCUUAACCCCGGAACUGCUUUGGAAACUGAGCAGCUAGAGUGCAGGAGAGGUAAGUGGAAUUCCUAGUGUAGCGGUGAAAUGCGUAGAUAUUAGGAGGAACACCAGUGGCGAAGGCGGCUUACUGGACUGUAACUGACGUUGAGGCUCGAAAGCGUGGGGAGCAAACAGGAUUAGAUACCCUGGUAGUCCACGCCGUAAAC
rnacentral:rRNA from 1 species